rnacentral:rRNA from 1 species
GCUUACGACCACACCGGCCUGAGUACGCCUGAUCUCGUCUGAUCUCGGAAGCAAAGCAGGGUCAGGCCUGGUUAGUACUUGGAUGGGAGACCGGCUGGGAAUACCAGGUGCUGUAAGAU